AUGCCAGGUGUAUCGAGGGAACUCGCUGAGCACACUCUUAAUAUUGAUCCCAAGUUUAAACCGGUCAAGCAGUUUCUUCGUUGCUUUAAUGAAGAGAGACGCAAGGCCAUUGGCGAGGAGGUAGCCCGGCUUUUGGCAGCAGGGUUUAUUAUGGAGGUAUUUCACCCUGAGUGGUUGGCUAACCCAGUGCUAGUACUCAAGAAGAAUGGCACUUGUCGUAUGUGUGUGGACUACACAGAUUUGAACAAGGCUUGCACAGCUGAUCCCUUUGCCCUCCCCCGUAUUGAUCAGAUUAUUGAUGCUACGGUGGGUUGUGAGCGGUUGAGCUUUCUGGAUGCUUAUUCGGGUUAUCAUUAG
rnacentral:rRNA from 1 species